GUUCAGAGUCGGCGAGCAGGAGGGUGUUCAUUCAUAGAUCUACCACCAUCCAUGCCAGUGUUCAGAGUCAGUGAGCAGGAGGGCGUUCAUUCAUAGAACCACCACCAUCCACAUCAGCGUUCAGAGUCAGCGAGCAGGAGGAUGUUCAUUCAUAGAUCCACCACCAUUCACACCAGUGUUCAAAAUCAGUGAGCAGGAAGGUGUUCAUUCAUAGAUCUACCACUAUCCACACCAGUGUUCAGAGUCAGUGAGCAGGAGGGCGUUCAUUCAUAGAUCCACCACCAUCCACACCAGCGUUCAGAGUCAGCGAGCAGGAGGGCAUUCAUUCAUAGAUCCACCAUCAUCCACACCAGUGCUCAAAAUCAAUGAGCAGGAGGGCUUUCAUUCAUAGACACCGUCUCCAUUCACACCAGCGUUCAGAGUCACUGAGCGGGAGGGCGUUCAUUCACAGAUCCACCAUCAUCCACACCAACACCCAAAGUCAGCGAGCAGGAGGACUUGAUGACACGCAGAUGGCUGGGCCCUGUGGCCAAAGGUCCUGAUUUAAUAGGACUAAGGCAGGGCUCCUGAAUUUGCCUUUUUCCCAACUUCCAGGGUUAUGCCAGAUGCCAGCACUGCCAGACUGAGGCCCAGCCUUGCAAACUACCAAUGUCCUUCACAGAAGAAGGCAAGCCCACGUACCACGUGGAAAACAGUGUGAAACCUCUCCUCUGGGGAAGAGUUGUACUUUUGCCUGGACAGUUUUGCAUCUGUUCUUGUUUGUUUGAGGUUCAGGUGACAAUGUUCCCCAUCCCAGGCAAUGAAUCAUCAUUGGACCAAGCCAAGCAAGGCUGUCUCAUUCCUUUUGCCAAGGACUCAUCCAGAGGAAACAUGUGACACGGUUCUGGCCAAUGAUGAGUAAGGAGAGUCGGCAGGGGUCUCUGAGAAAGCAUUUCUUCCCUCAUAGAGAAAGAGCUGCACAACAAGCCCUUCUGUCUCUUUUUCAAAGGGUUUUCAGGAGUCAUUUUGACCAUGCAUGAUUUUUGCUUUAUGCACCAUCUAUAAAACUAUCACUUGUGUACUGAGUUGAAAAGUGAGUCCCUCAAAAGACCCAGAACCUCAGAAUGCAAUCUGAUUCGGAAACGGGAUCUUCACAGGUAUAAUCACGUUAGGAUAAGGCCCUCCUAGAUUAGGGUUCCCAAUCCGAUGACUGACAGAAAAACAGGCUGGGUGCGGUGGCUCAUACCUGUGAUCCCGGCACUGUGGGAGGUUAAGGCAGAAGAAUGGCUUGAGCCCAGGGGUUCGAGGCAACCUUCGGCAACAUAGUGAGAUGUCAUCUCUACAGACACUUUUACAAUUAGUAGAGUGUGGUGCAUGCUUGUGGUCCUAACUACUCAGGAGGCUGAGAUGGGAGGAUUGUUUGAGCCUUGGAGGUUGAGGCUAGAGUAAGCCAUGUUCAUGCCACUGCACUCCAGCCUGGGAAUAGAGCAAGACCCUGUCUUCACAACAACAGCAAAAAUUCUAAAAAAAAAAUAAAGAGAAAGAAAAAAAACAGACACAGAACGGCCUGGGAGAAUGGGAGCACACAUGAAGACGGAGCAGGGAUUGGAGGGAUGUGUUUACAAGCCAGGGAAAACCAACCUGUCGACACCUGGGUUUCUAAGUUGUGGCCUCCAGAACUGUGAGGAAAUACGUUUCUGAUGGUUUAAGGCGCAUGGGGUGCUUUGUUAUAGCAGCUCUGAGAAAAAGAGAAACAGUUAAAGCACCAUGUUAUUCUUAGUAGUUAAGAAAUAGGCUGGGAGCAGUGACUCAGGCCUUAAUCCCAACACUUUGGGAGGCCGAGGUGGAAGGAUCAUUUGAGGUCAGGAGUUCAAGACCAGUCUGACCAGCAUGGCGAAAUCCCGUCUCUACUAAAAAUACAAAAAUUAGCCGGGUGUGGUAGCGCACACCUGUAGUCCCAGCUACUAGGGAGGCUGAAGCAGGAGAAUACCUUGAACCUGAGAGGUGGA
rnacentral:lncRNA from 1 species